UAAUACGGAGGGUGCAAGCGUUGUUCGGAAUUACUGGGCGUAAAGGGCGUGUAGGCGGAUUAGCAAGCUGGGGGUGAAAGGCCAGGGCUCAACCCGGGACCAUCUCCCAGAACUGCCAAUCUAGAGAGAGUCAGAGGCAGGUGGAAUUCCUGGUGUAGAGGUGAAAUUCGUAGAGAUCAGGAGGAACACCGGCGGCGAAGGCGACCUGCUGGGGCUUUUCUGACGCUGAGGCGCGAAAGCGUGGGGAGCAAACAGGAUUAGAUACCCUGGUAGUCCACGCUGUAAACGAUGAGCACUCGAUGUGCGAGGUUUACGACCCCCCGCGUGUCACAGCUAACGCAUUAAGUGCUCCGCCUGGGGACUACGGUCGCAAGACUA
rnacentral:rRNA from 1 species